rnacentral:tRNA from 1 species
UGGCUCAGUUGGUAGAGCAUGGCGCUUGCAACGCCAGGUUUGUGGGUACGAUUCCCAU